GAUGAACGCUGGCGGCAUGCCUAACACAUGCAAGUCGGACGGGCAGUGGUGGUUCCCUUGGCGGACGGGUGAGUAACGGGUAAGAACCUGCCCUUGGGUGGGGAACAACAGCUGGAAACGGUUGCGAAUACCCCGCAGGCUGAGGAGCAGAAGGAAGAAUCCGAUCGCGGUGGGUCUUGCGUCUGAUUAGCUAGAUGGUGAGGCAACGGUUUACCAAGGAGAUGAUCAGUAGCCGGCCCGGGAGGGUGAUCAGACACAGUGGGACUGAGACAAGGACCAGACUGCGACGGGAAGCCGCAGCGGGGACCUUCGGGAAACGGGAGAGAGGAAGAUGCCGCAAUGCGCGGAGGGUGAAGAAGGCAUUGGCGCUGGAAAGCAGAAUGCCUACGGGUCAGGGACUGUUUUUCCCGGAGAAGAUGCAAUGACGGUAUCUGGGGAAUAAGCACCGGCUAACUCUGUG
rnacentral:rRNA from 1 species